GAGGAAGUAAAAGUCGUAACAAGGUUUCCGUAGGUGAACCUGCGGAAGGAUCAUUAACGAGUUGAACGGGGUUGUAGCUGGCCUUCACAGGCAUGUGCACACCUCACUCAUCCACUCUACACCUGUGCACUUACUGUGGGUUUCGAGAGGCCGCGCUUGCGUGGUUGAUCGGGCUCACGUCUAUUACAAACUCUUCAGUAUCAGAAUGUGUAUCGCGAUGUAACGCAUCUAUAUACAACUUUCAGCAACGGAUCUCUUGGCUCUCGCAUCGAUGAAGAACGCAGCGAAAUGCGAUAAGUAAUGUGAAUUGCAGAAUUCAGUGAAUCAUCGAAUCUUUGAACGCACCUUGCGCUCCUUGGUAUUCCGAGGAGCAUGCCUGUUUGAGUGUCGUGUAAUUCUCAACCUAUAAAUCCUUGUGGUUUUUAGGCUUGGACUUGGAGGCUUUUGCUGGCUUUACYGUCGGCUCCUCUUAAAUGCAUUAGCUUGAUUCCUUGCGGAUCGGCUCUCAGUGUGAUAAUUAUCUGCGCUGUGACCGUGAAGCGUUUGGCGAGCUUCUAACCGUCUCUUUGAGACAAACACUUUGACAUCUGACCUCAAAUCAGG
rnacentral:rRNA from 1 species